UGAAGGGGUUGAACGGACCGGUAGCUAACUAUGGCUCAUUGUAGGCAGUGAUCCAAGUUUCAAUGUGCUGGUCUGGUCAAAAGAUUUUCCUAUGUUUGUGGAGCAAAGGUGAGAGGCUGGUUGCACUUUAACCUAAAGCCUUUCUUCAUUCUUUUUUUUUUUUUUAAAUUAAUAUUCUCGACUGCAUUUCAAAUACUGUUUAAGGACGUUUUUACAUUUAAAAAGGACGCUUGCUUGCUUCUGGAAAAGAUACCAUAUUAACAGAAAAACCUGUUAUGAUUAAACAAGGUAUUACUGUCAGUGAGUGGGUGAAAAUUGUUUUCAAACUCUUAUUUGUCGAAUCAGAGCGGGGGCUUACAGGGGAUGUGGCAGGCCCCAGUGAGAUGCCGCCCGUCAGAGGCUUGGUGGGAUUCCAAGAGGUGGUUUCAAACACAAAAAUAAGUACUUGGGUUUCCCUUGGUGUCCCCAUGGAGAUUUUAAAGCCAUGAUGCAAUGUUCAAGUGAGAGUGGUAUUUUUAUGACUUAGGUGAGUAAAUAUGCAGUUUGCAAAUACCCAGGAAAGGGUGGAGGUGAGCUGGCCCAGAAGGCAGGGGCGCGCGGAGUGCAGUGGGCAGAGUGGGUGGCGCUGUUCUGAAGAGGGCCCUGUGCUGGACAGGAUGGCCCGGUAUUGUAAACACGGGUUUCUCAGGCUUAGUUCUCCUUCCUAGCAACAGGAAGACGGAAAUGAGGCCAUGCAGAGAGGCGGGG